rnacentral:rRNA from 10 species
AAAACGACUCUCGGCAACGGAUAUCUCGGCUCUCGCAUCGAUGAAGAACGUAGCGAAAUGCGAUACUUGGUGUGAAUUGCAGAAUCCCGUGAACCAUCGAGUCUUUGAACGCAAGUUGCGCCCCAAGCCUCCGGGCCGAGGGCACGUCUGCCUGGGUGUCAC